CCUACGGGUGGCUGCAGUGGGGAAUAUUGGACAAUGGGCGAAAGCCUGAUCCAGCCAUGCCGCGUGUGUGAAGAAGGCCUUCGGGUUGUAAAGCACUUUCAGUGGGGAAGAAAGCCUUGGGGCUAAUACCCUCGAGGAAGGACAUCACCCACAGAAGAAGCACCGGCUAACUCCGUGCCAGCAGCCGCGGUAAUACGGAGGGUGCGAGCGUUAAUCGGAAUUACUGGGCGUAAAGCGCGCGUAGGCGGUCUGAUAAGCCGGUUGUGAAAGCCCCGGGCUCAACCUGGGAACGGCAUCCGGAACUGUCAGGCUAGAGUGCAGGAGAGGAAGGUAGAAUUCCCGGUGUAGCGGUGAAAUGCGUAGAGAUCGGGAGGAAUACCAGUGGCGAAGGCGGCCUUCUGGACUGACACUGACGCUGAGGUGCGAAAGCGUGGGUAGCAAACAGGAUUAGAUACACUAGUAGU
rnacentral:rRNA from 1 species